rnacentral:rRNA from 1 species
AAUAUUGCACAAUGGGGGAAACCCUGAUGCAGCGACGCCGCGUGAGCGAAGAAGGCCUNCGGGUCNUNAAGCUCUGUCCUAAGGGNAGAAACGGACGGUACAUUAGGAGGAAGACCCGGCUAACUACAUGCCACCAGCCGCGGUAAUACGUAGGGGGCGAGCGUUAUCCGGAAUUAUUGGGCGUAAAGGGUGCGUAGGCGGCCUUUUAAGUACGAUGUGAAAGGCUACGGCUUAACCGUAGUUAGCAUUUGAAACUAAAAGGCUUGAGUGCAGGAGAGGAGAGUAGAAUUCCUAGUGUAGCGGUGAAAUGCGUAGAUAUUAGGAGGAACACCAGUGGCGAAGGCGACUCUCUGGACUGCAACUGACGCUGAGGCACGAAAGCGUGGGGAGCGAACAG